GCAGCUGAUUGAGGGAGACAGGGAAAGAAAUGAAGAGGGUAUUCCCUUCCCAGGAGCCCGGGGGAAUUUAGGAAAUCCUGGGGUUGCCUCCUCAUUCUCCUCCACCCGCCCCCCCCCCACCCGUUUAUAAUGCCCCACCCCCAUCACCUAACUUUUUUUAACCCUCUUUCCUGUCUCGAGGAGACCUAGAUCCCCAUCCUGGGAGGGACUGGCAACAAUUAACAAAGGCACCAUGGAGUAAAGACAAUUAACAAUCCAGAAAAGAGGGGAAAGAGAGGCUUUGUUCUGGUCACCAUGGCAACGGAGGGGGGGGAGGGAGGAAGGAGGAGGAGGAGGAGGAGAGGCCAUCCAGAGAGGCUGAUACUUUCACUUUCCUUUCAUCCCUCCCCUGUCCCGCCCCCUUGGGUUUCUGCCAGGGAGACAGGGGAUCUUGAAGAACACAGGACUGGGACAGGCCCAGUCUGCAGGCUGGAGAUUCAAGGAUAAGAGGAGGAUUUUUCAGGCUUCUCUCUACUGCACACAGUUCUGAACUCUACCUCGGAGCAAGAGAGAAACCAAGUAUAGAAAACUCAUCCCCAAGUGCUCUGGGGUCCAGCUCUCCCAGGCUUCCCUGUUUGGAAAAGGCAGAAGACAAUGAAAUAUAAGCUCCAAAACCCCACUAGAGACCAUGCUGUUGGCUUAGGGGGAAUUGGAAAUCACCCUCCAUCUCGCGAGUGCUUCUAGCCAGAGCAGAAGCUUUUUGGCAGGAGAAGCCAGGCGCACCAGCCCCGCCUCAUGGAUGGGCCUCUCCAUUAGCCAUAGGAGACUGCCUGCCAGGCUAUUUCUUGCUCCCAGCAACCCUAACAUCAUGAGAGAAAAUAGGCUAUGGACUCCAGAACCUUAUCUUUCUAGGACUCAGCCUUAUCGCCCUGUGGGUCCAAGUGAAAUGAAGAAUAUUAAUCAGAAACUAAAAUCAAGGAGAAAAAAAAAUCCGUUCUGUCAGAGGCCCUAAACCAAGCAAGAGGUCAAAGGUCCUGCUCUCUGCCUGGAGGGUAUCCUGUCAGGCACUCCUUGCAUGGAUGCUAUUAUGGGCUGAACUGUGUCUCCAAAUUCAUCUGUCCAAGCCCCCAGUACCUCAGAAGGUGACUCUACUUGGAGACAGGGUCUUUGCAGAGGUAACUGAGUUAAAAUGAGGUCAUUAGGGUGGGUUGUAAAUCCACAGGACUGGUGUCCUUAUAAGAAGACAUCUCUACACAGACACACAGGGAGAAGAUGGCCGUCUACAAGCCACGGAGAGAGGCCUAGGACAGAUCCUUCUCUCGUGGCCCUCCGAAGAAACCACCCCUCACAGACUGCUAGCCUUCAGAACUCUAAGCAGAUACAUUUCUGCUGUGCGAGCCCCCCAGUCCAUGGUGCUUUGUAAGGGUAGCAAAUUGACAUGGAUGCUUAAAGGUUGGGAGGUCUGCACAACCUUGAGGCUGCCUGGACUCACAGAGUGUGUCUGUGAAAGGGGGGUAGGCUUUUGUACUAGCAUGGUUGCAUUAUUUUAAUUUGAAACAAAAUUGAUCUAUUA